GCCACCCCAAACAAUCCUGUUGAGGAUGAUUUUAAAUAGUAAUUUGGCCAAUGCCAACUUUUCUGACUCUGCCAUCAUCUCAGGUGCCAACUAAUGCUGUGCCAAGGCCUCUAGGGGAUUCGAGGAUGAUCAAGUGUCGGUUUCUGUCCUCAAAACAAUUAAGAGGGAAGAGGGACAAUUCCAGCAAAAACUGCCUGAGCAAAGGCACCUGGGAGGCCACAGGAAUUUACAAGAUGCUCACAGAAUAGCUUUAGAGGAAAUGAUUUGUUUUGGGGGAAGAGGAAGUUGGAAGAGGAAAGCCAGGGCCUGACUGUGAGGGCUUGAUGACACUGGCAUAGUAUCUUCAAUGAAAUCAGUCUUUUGGUGACUUCAAAACAUUUGAAUCAGCACAGCAAAGCAUUUGAAUCAGAAAUUCAAAUAUCUGCUUGGUAACAUGGGAAGAAAAUAGAAGA